rnacentral:lncRNA from 1 species
UUCAUUUAAUCUUUAAUGUAUCUUUUUGUGAAUGUGUAGGAAAUUGAUAGCAUUUGCUUAGUUUGCAUCAACAAAUUUUGGACAGUUUUAAAUGUAAGUAUAUAUGUUUUUGUCUUAACAAAAUGCUAUAUUGUGAAUUUUUUUAAAUGCAAUACUGUACAUGUUUUUAAGUACAUCGUUAGUCGUUGCAAUUUAUUUUUUUAAUUGUAUAAAUGUUUGUAGUGUUUAAUUAAACGGAAUGGUAUGUCCAAGUUGCAAUCUUUUCGGAAAGAUACUAAAACCGUUUACUGAGCCUUCGAAUGUCAGCUUUUUAAGGUUUAAUCUUGCUUUUCUUUUCUGUUUCUCAAAGUGCCUAAUUGUAUAGGUUUGUGGAAUUUGAUGGUUUAAAGCUGUUUGUUUGUGUGUCAUUUGGUUUCUUGUGGAGCGUUGUCUUAAGAGCAAUCAUACCGCAUGUUCUUUUUUAUAUGGGAUUUCUAAGUGUAUAAAACUGUUGAUUUGUUAAAUGUGAGGGAUCUUGUGUAUAAUUUAUUUGUAUCAACACAAGAUAUGAUUCGUAUUGUGGGAUUCAAACAGCGUUCAAACAGAAAUAAAACCACAACUUUCUAUUGGAAUGCGUUUUGUUUGAUGAUCUUCGAUACAUACGUAAAACAUUGAAACAUGAAAAUAAUCGAAAGUCUUACUCAAAAAGGCUGUAAAAUUUUUCGUGUCAAGACUUCACACUUUUUAUUCUAUGACUUUAAUUAACAAGAUAUUACAAAUGUUUAAUGUAUAACGAUACGUCUAACGUUAAGUGAAUUAAAGGCGUAAAAAAAUUUAAAGCGGAAGUGGGCGUCCUGUAUAAGCUGAUGGACCAAUAUAUGUUUUUUCCGUAUUGGCACUGUUUGAAAUGCAAUAUAUAUAAACUCUUGAUUUUUAUCGACAGUAGGUCAUCAUCAGUAUUUCACAGGGCUGCUUUGCUCAAUAUCAUUAAAUAACUCAUGUCAAAUGAAUACUAAAUGUUAUAUUUUAUGAUAAAUACACAUUUUAAAUAUCAUGAAAUAUGAAUAAUGCAAGUAUUAUAUAUGUUUAAUGAAAUAUGAAUAAUGUAAAUAUUCCAGGACCAUGUUGAACUUUUGGUACGUGAUUGUAAUUGUGUUCAGCAUAUGCCAUAAGACGAAUGCAGUUGAAAGUAAGCUUUAUUUUAUAUAAAUGCCUACACUGUAAUACAGGAUCACAACAAAUAAUAAUUACCAAAAGCUAUUUGAAUUUCUAAUAGUGCUUUGUUCGUUGUUGUAAAUAAAUCGCACGAGCUCAAUACAUAAGGUGUAAAAACAUGAAUGCAAAGAAUUUCAUUUAAAAAUUUGUCAAACUGAAUGUAUUUCUAUUAAUGGUCAUCUAAAUGCAAGGAAGUUAUAUUAAUUUGAUCUAAAUAAAUAAAAUGUAAAAUAUAAUGCAAUUGCUUGACCUGAGAAUCAAUUUCUUCACCACUUUGACUGCAAACAUGAGGUUCAAUUUCAGAAUUAAUUUUGGAAACAAUCGUGUUUAUCUUCUAUAUUUGUCACAUUUUAUCUUCUUAUAAUGCAUAAUUUACUCUUGGGAACUUACAAAUCGCAUUAUGUAGGAACGUCUUAAAAUAUAAUACCUUCGUUUUCAAAGAGUUAACACGUCAAUGUACGGCCUCACAGGGAAGAUGCGCCCAAACAAAAAAAUCCAACUGUGAAACUAGUUUUGGUUCAGAAUGGACAGUGAAAGGCAGCUGUUGCAGAAGGA